UGAGAUGGAGCAAAGUGCUGCGGGGGGUUGGAUAUGACUUUUGAACUUUCAGCAGUGAUAUCCAACCAAUCCUCAGUACAUUGCCCUACUCA